UACGUAGGGGGCAAGCGUUGUCCGGAUUUAUUGGGCGUAAAGAGCGUGUAGGCGGCCAGACAGGUCAGCUGUGAAAACUCGAGGCUCAACCUCGAGACGUCGGUUGAAACCGUCUGGCUAGAGUCCGGAAGAGGAGAGUGGAAUUCCCGGUGUAGCGGUGAAAUGCGCAGAUAUCGGGAAGAACACCAGUGGCGAAGGCGCUCUGCUAGGCCGUAACUGACACUGAGGGACGAAAGCUAGGGGAGCGAAUGGG
rnacentral:rRNA from 1 species